GACGAACGCUGGCGGCGUGCUUAACACAUGCAAGUCGAACGGAAAGGCCCUGCUUUUGUGGGGUGCUCGAGUGGCGAACGGGUGAGUAACACGUGAGUAACCUGCCCUUGACUUUGGGAUAACUUCAGGAAACUGGGGCUAAUACCGGAUAGGAGCUCCUGCUGCAUGGUGGGGGUUGGAAAGUUUCGGCGGUUGGGGAUGGACUCGCGGCUUAUCAGCUUGUUGGUGGGGUAGUGGCUUACCAAGGCUUUGACGGGUAGCCGGCCUGAGAGGGUGACCGGGCACAUUGGGACUGUGAUACGGCCCCGACUCCUACGGGAGGCAGCAGUGGGGAAUAGUGCGCAAUGGGCUGAGGCCGGAUGCAGCAACGCCGCGUGCGGGGUGACGGCCUUCGGGUUGUACACCGCUUUCGCAUGUGACGAAGAGUGAGUGACGGUAAUGGGUAAAGAAGCAACGGCUAACUACGUG
rnacentral:rRNA from 1 species